CACGCUUAAUGGACGCUGAGCAAAAACGAAACAGCUGACAGCUCUGAACUAGCCGUAAAAUGUCAAAGCAGUUGCUUAUUUCUCCACUAGAUGCCUAAAACAUAAAGUUCAAGGUAAAUCACGUCCUGAGUCCAGGUAAUCAAAUUACAGUAAUUGAUUUCUCUAAGGACCAUUCGAGAAGCUCUUUAAUUAUUUUCUGUUUUGUUCGUGGAAUUCUCUCUCUGCAGGUUUAAGACGUCAUGUUGCAUUAGGCCAUUAGGCUCUCAGUUGAGAAAAUUGAUACGUUAAGUCCUGGCGUUCGAAAUUUGAUUCGUUAAAAAAGUACAGUACAUACAAGUAGGGUUGAUUUAAGCUAUCAUCGUAGAAAAUACAUAGGGCUUCUUAACCUGUUUAACAAUAUUGGUACAGUUGGACUGAGAUCAUAAGUACAACUGUAACUGAAGUUUUUACACGUCCUGUCAUUCGAAUUUACCGCAACAAUGGUUGGUAGAUGUUCGCGUUGGAGAUUCCAGUGCGAAUCUAUCAAAUCUUCUUUCAGGAUAUGUAUGUCGAUCAUGUGGGAAAUUCAAAGCAAUGUUUUCUUGUGGAUAUGUAACAAAAGCAAUCUUGGUGCUUUUGGUUAGACCUCUGCAUCUAUUUCAGAAUCAGAAAUCAAAGGAGAUUACUGCAACAAGAGUAUGCGAAGCGCAGAUAACAAAAGAAGUUAUUACUUUUUAUCGACUUCCGUUUAAUCUAUUUAUUAUAGGUUGCACUCAAUUCAUUACCUCGGGUUUCACUACCUGCAUUGAAAUGUGCGCUCACGGCACAACUGUCAUCACGAAUUAAUCUAAAACUUAUCUCUCGAGUCUUCUGAUUAAUACGAGCAGUCCAUGUCAGAUAGUAGUCUCUUGCGACUGGGCAUCAGCCUUCACUAUUUGUUAACACUGUUCCUAUGCAACAUUUUCAAUAAAAACCACUCUAAGAGCUGCCCCGUAGAACUGAAUAAAAAAGUUAAUCAGAAAAAAAAAAAAAAAAAA